rnacentral:rRNA from 1 species
UACGUAGGGUGCGAGCGUUAAUCGGAAUUACUGGGCGUAAAGCGUGCGCAGGCGGUUUUGUAAGCCAGAUGUGAAAUCCCCGGGCUUAACCUGGGAAUGGCAUUUGGGACUGCAAGGCUCGAGUGCGGCAGAGGAGACUGGAAUUCCUGGUGUAGCAGUGAAAUGCGUAGAUAUCAGGAGGAACACCGAUGGCGAAGGCAGCCCCCUGGGCUAACACUGACGCUCAGGCACGAAAGCGUGGGGAGCAAACAGG